UGCGUAGGCGGACUAAUAAGUCAGUGGUGAAAUCUUUCGGCUCAACCGAGAAACUGCCAUUGAUACUGUUAAUCUUGAGUUCGGUUGAGGUAGGCGGAAUGUGUAAUGUAGCGGUGAAAUGCUUAGAUAUUACACAGAACACCAAUUGCGUAGGCAGCUUACUAGACCGACACUGACGCUGAGGCGCGAAAGCGUGGGGAGCAAACAGGAUUAGAUACCCUGGUAGUCC
rnacentral:rRNA from 1 species